UGAAAAGGAAACUGGAGUUGCUUCAGUGUUCUGGUGCGGAGCGUCACGUCUCGUGCGUGUUCAUUCAGCCACGAUGCCUGAGGAAACCCAGACCCAAGACCAACCAAUGGAGGAGGAGGAGGUCGAGACCUUUGCCUUUCAGGCAGAAAUUGCCCAGUUAAUGUCCUUGAUCAUCAAUACCUUCUACUCGAACAAAGAGAUCUUUCUGAGGGAGCUCAUCUCCAAUUCAUCGGACGCUCUGGAUAAAAUCCGAUACGAGAGCCUGACGGACCCCAGUAAACUGGACUCAGGGAAGGAGCUGCACAUCAAUCUCAUUCCCAGCAAACAGGACCGAACCCUGACGAUUGUGGAUACCGGAAUUGGAAUGACCAAGGCCGANUUGAUCAAUAACCUUGGCACCAUUGCCAAGUCGGGCACCAAAGCCUUCAUGGAGGCUUUGCAGGCUGGUGCAGAUAUCUCUAUGAUUGGCCAGAUUGGUGUUGGUUUUUACUCUGCGUAUUUGGUUGCUGAGAAAGUGACUGUCAUCACCAAGCAUAACGACGAUGAGCAGUAUGCCUGGGAGUCCUCAGCUGGGGGAUCCUUCACAGUGAGGACUGACACAGGUGAACCAAUGGGUCGUGGAACAAAGGUUAUCUUGCAUCUGAAAGAAGACCAAACUGAGUAUUUGGAGGAAAGGAGAAUAAAGGAGAUCGUGAAGAAGCAUUCUCAGUUCAUUGGCUAUCCCAUUACUCUCUUUGUGGAGAAGGAACGAGAUAAGGAAGUCAGUGAUGAUGAGGCUGAAGAAAAGGAAGAGAAAGAGGAAGAGAAAGAAAAAGAAGAAAAGGAGUCUGAUGAUAAACCUGAAAUAGAAGAUGUUGGUUCUGAUGAAGAGGAGGAGGAGAAGAAGGAUGGUGACAAGAAGAAAAAGAAGAAGAUAAAGGAAAAGUACAUUGAUCAAGAAGAACUCAAAAAAACCAAGCCGAUUUGGACGAGAAAUCCUGAUGACAUCACUAAUGAGGAAUAUGGAGAGUUCUACAAGAGCUUAACCAACGAUUGGGAAGAACAUUUGGCA